GCCAUAUUCAACAGACCGUCGUUUUGGAUUUCACAAUUAGUGGAAUGUUUUUUACGAUGUCAAUUAUCGUUUUCUAAAAGUUUUUUUACGCUGUUCCGAAUCAUUGUAUGACUAUUAUAGUGACUGUUUGGUAACAGUAUUUUGCUAUUCGGGUUGUUCGAUCGUUUUGCUACCGCCGGCCGCGAAGAAUUUUUUUUCGCCCUCGAAUCUUGCUGGAGGAGAAGCAAUUGCUGAUUAAUCAGCACGUCCUGGCAUUCAAAGAAUGCAAAAACCCGAUGGCAUUGUUCAACCAGGUUAUACUACCGGAACCCCCAAAAUUUAACUCCGUGCUAUGGAUUCCUGGACACCGGAACCUUCCAAGAGGGUACUGAUUGAAAUAAGGAGGAGGCAGCACAGAAAUGUACAGUUGGGCAGGUCUGUUGGUAUAAUAUCAAUUCGUAAAGAUUCAAUAAAAUGAUGAAAUUUAGAA